GAAUCUUAGACAAUGGGGGAAACCCUGAUCUAGCAACGCCGCGUAAUCGAUGAAGGACUUAGUGAUGAAAAGAUGUUCCAGCUGGCAAGAUAAUGACGGUACCAGCAGAAGAAGCACCGGCUAACUCCGCACCAGCAUCCGCUGUAAUACGGAGGGGGCUAGCGUUAUUCGGAUUUACUGGGCGUAAAGCGCACGUAGGCGGAACAGAAAGUUAGUGGUGAAAUCCCGGGGGUCAACCUCGGAACUGCCUCUAAAACUCCUGGUCUUGAGGUCGAGAGAGGUGAGUGGAAUGCCGAGUGUAGAGGUGAAAUUCGUAGAUAUUCGGAGGAACACCAGUGGCGAAGGCGGCUCACUGGCUCGAUACUGACGCUGAGGUGCGAAAGCGUGGGAAGCAAACA
rnacentral:rRNA from 1 species